AGUUCCUGAGUCAAGAUGUCUGCAAAUUGAGCCUGCAACUGCCCCAAGCAAAUGCCUAGGCCCUGCUCUGAAUCCCCAGAAGUUAGCCAUUCUUGUGAACAAGUGAUCUCCCAGACCAAUGCAAGCAGCCAGGACAUCAGUGACUUGUCCCUCCAAGACCCUGAGGAGGAAGCAUGGAAAUCUGACCUGAUUCUUCUCAUAUUUGGGCUCUACAUCCCCAACCUAAUAGUAAAGUUACUCUCCUG